ensembl:snoRNA
ACAGUGUCCCAGAGGCCUUGCAGGUGUGGCGGCGGUGUCACACAUGUACUGGUGGGUGGUGGAGGGGAGAGAGGCUAUGUCUAUGCCCAGGGUUCUGACCUGUGAAUAUCUGAAUGAUUGGUAACCUAUCAUU